UUUCUUUAGUUUUUGUAAACCAAGAAGAAGUGGAAGAAGCGUACAGUCGUACGGUAAAGAAAGAGUGUAAAUACUUUUGAAUUAUUGUGGUUUGCUUUGCUGUUUUCGUUUCAUAUAUUUGAAUAGUGGGACUUAUGUAUUAGUUUUCAGUUAGACGAUGCGUAUUUAAUGACUACAAUGACUGAAGCUGUUUAUGAGAGCAGUGCUGUUCCUUAUGCUUCGACGUUUCAGUAUGCUGAAUACAAUUUUAAAAACACAGCUUUAGAACUAGCCAGAGCCCAGUGGCCAAACUAUGAUGAUCAACAUUACCUUAGGAGUUGCAAGUGGUCCCCUGAUGGUACUUGUUUACUCACAAUAGUUAGGGGAGCUGGUAUGCAUGUUAUGGAGUUGCCCAAUGAUUUAUAUACUGGGGAAUCAGUUGGGAGUUGUAGGCCUAUUGUUCCUUUAAUUCCAGCAGUUAGUGUUCCCGAAGCAGGUCUUAUAUAUGAUUAUUGUUGGUAUCCUGGUAUGAAUAGUAGUAACCCAGCUACAUGUUGUUGGUUAUCUAGUGGUCAUAGUGGGCCAAUACAUCUUUGGGAUGCAUUUUCCGGAGAACUGAGAUGUACCUAUAGAGGUUACAACAAUCAAGAUGAGGUAGAACCAGCCAUUAGUGUCACAUUUUCUGCAGAUGGGCAGAAUAUAUUUUGUGGAUAUAAGAAAAAUGUUAAAAUUUUUGACACAGGUAGACCUGGUAGGGAUUUCGUUGAAUAUCCAGUAUCGCACCAAGCUUCUUGUCUAGUAGCAAGUCCAGCACAACCCGGAGUAGUAGCCAUAGGUACAUGGAAAAAUACAAUUGACUUGGUAUCUCAAAGCGAUGGCACAUUCCGCCAUCUCUGCAAAUUAAACGGUCACAAAGGAGGCAUCACCACAAUGGCUUUCUCCUUAGAUGGUUUCCGUUUGUACAGUGGAGCUCGAAAGGACAAAGAAAUAAUUUGCUGGGAUCUACGUGUACCCGGCAGACCUAUGUUCUGUUUAACACGAGAAGUUAAUACCAAUCAGAAGAUCAAUAUUGACUUGAGUGUUGAUGGUAAAUGGUUGGUAUCUGGUGGGACAGAUGGUAAGGUCCAAGUGUGGAAUGUCAGUGAAGAAACAUAUCCUACAGUUCAUAUGCAAGAUAUCUUGUAUGACCGUUUCGUUACCGAGGAGUUAGAGCCAGGAUAAGUCUUUUUCUUAAUUGCUACCUAAACAAUAAAACACUUUUAUCUUUAAUCUAAGUAGGCCAGGGGAACAGUGACAUUUUUCCUCAAAUCAACGAUUGAUGGGAUUGCACAAUGACUGUUGCAAUGGAGUGAGUCUUCAUCCAUAUAGACCAAUUUUGGCUACAGCUUCCGGACAACAUCACUCUCAGGAUCCGCUGCAUCACAGCAGAAGCACUUCGCAGUACGAGAAUGCG